UACGUAGGGUGCGAGCGUUGUCCGGAAUUAUUGGGCGUAAAGAGCUCGUAGGCGGUCUGUCGCGUCGGUCGUGAAAACUUGGGGCUUAACCCUGAGCUUGCGGUCGAUACGGGCAUGACUGGAGUUCGGCAGGGGAGACUGGAAUUCCUGGUGUAGCGGUGAAAUGCGCAGAUAUCAGGAGGAACACCGGUGGCGAAGGCGGGUCUCUGGGCCAAUGACUGACGCUGAGGAGCGAAAGCGUGGGGAGCGAACAGG
rnacentral:rRNA from 1 species